AUGGGAACGCGAAGAACCUUACCUGGCCUUGACAUGUCUGGAAUCCUGUAGAGAUACGGGAGUGCCUUCGGGAAUCAGAACACAGGUGCUGCAUGGCUGUCGUCAGCUCGUGUCGUGAGAUGUUGGGUUAAGUCCCGCAACGAGCGCAACCCUUGUCAUUAGUUGCUACGAAAGGGCACUCUAAUGAGACUGCCGGUGACAAACCGGAGGAAGGUGGGGAUGACGUCAAGUCCUCAUGGCCCUUAUGGGUAGGGCUUCACACGUCAUACAAUGGUCGGUACAGAGGGUUGCCAAGCCGCGAGGUGGAGCCAAUCCCAGAAAGCCGAUCGUAGUCCGGAUUGCAGGCUGCAACUCGCCUGCAUGAAGUCGGAAUCGCUAGUAAUCGCGGAUCAGCAUGUCGCGGUGAAUACGUU
rnacentral:rRNA from 1 species